rnacentral:rRNA from 1 species
AUACGGAGGGUGCGAGCGUUAAUCGGAAUUACUGGGCGUAAAGCGUACGUAGGCGGUUUGCUAAGUCAGAUGUGAAAGCCCCGGGCUUAACCUGGGAACUGCAUUUGAUACUGGCAGACUAGAGUAUGAUAGAGGGGGGUAGAAUUCCUGGUGUAGCGGUGAAAUGCGUAGAUAUCGGGAGGAAUACCAGUGGCGAAGGCGGCCCCCUGGAUCAAUACUGACGCUGAGGUACGAAAGCGUGGGGAGCGAACAGGAUUAGAAACCCUAGUAGUCC